CGCGGCCUAUCAGCUUGUUGGUGAGGUAACGGCUCACCAAGGCUUCGACGGGUAGCCGGCCUGAGAGGGCGACCGGCCACACUGGGACUGAGAUACGGCCCAGACUCCUACGGGAGGCAGCAGUGGGGAAUAUUGCGCAAUGGGCGAAAGCCUGACGCAGCAACGCCGCGUGCGGGAUGACGGCCUUCGGGUUGUAAACCGCUUUCAGCUCCGACGAAGCUAACGUGACGGUAGGAGCAGAAGAAGCACCGGCCAACUACGUGCCAGCAGCCGCGGUAAUACGUAGGGUGCGAGCGUUGUCCGGAAUUAUUGGGCGUAAAGAGCUUGUAGGCGGUCUGUCGCGUCGGAAGUGAAAACUCAGGGCUUAACCCUGAGCCUGCUUCCGAUACGGGCAGACUAGAGGAAGGUAGGGGAGAACGGAACUCCUGGUGGAGCGGUGGAAUGCGCAGAUAUCAGGAAGAACACCGGUGGCGAAGGCGGUUCUCUGGACCUUUCCUGACGCUGAGAAGCGAAAGCGUGGGGAGCAAACAGGCUUAGAUACCCUGGUAGUCCACGCCGUAAACGGUGGGCACUAGGUGUGGGACUCAUUCCACGAGUUCCGUGCCGUAGCUAACGCAUUAAGUGCCCCGCCUGGGGAGUACGG
rnacentral:rRNA from 1 species